rnacentral:rRNA from 1 species
UACGUAGGGGGCGAGCGUUGUCCGGAAUUAUUGGGCGUAAAGCGCGCGCAGGCGGUUCUUUAAGUCCGGUGUUUAAGCCCGGGGCUCAACCUCGGGACGCACGGGAAACUGGGGGACUGGAGUGCAGGAGAGGGAAGCGGAAUUCCACGUGUAGCGGUGAAAUGCGUAGAGAUGUGGAGGAACACCAGUGGCGAAGGCGGCUUCCUGGCCUGUAACUGACGCUGAGGCGCGAAAGCGUGGGGAGCAAACAGGAUUAGAAACCCGCGUAGUCC